GAUGAACGCUGGCGGCGUGCUUAACACAUGCAAGUCGAACGGAAAGGCCCCUGCUUGCAGGGGUACUCGAGUGGCGAACGGGUGAGUAACACGUGGGUGAUCUGCCAUGCACUUCGGGAUAAGCCUGGGAAACUGGGUCUAAUACCGGAUAGGACGAUGGUUUGGAUGCCAUUGUGGAAAGUUUUUUCGGUGUGGGAUGAGCUCGCGGCCUCUCAGCUUGUUGGUGGGGUCAUGGCCUACCAAGGCGUCGACGGGUAGCCGGCCUGGGAGGGUGGACGGCCACGUUGGGCCUGAGCUACGGCCCAGCCUCCUACGGGAGGCAGCAGUGGGGAAUAGUGCACAAUGGGCGCAAGCCUGAUGCAGCGACGCCGCGUGGGGGAUGACGGCCUUCGGGUUGUAAACUCCUUUCGCUAGGGACGAAGCGAAAGUGACGGUACCUGGAGAAGAAGCACCGGCUAACUACGUG
rnacentral:rRNA from 1 species